rnacentral:rRNA from 1 species
AUGAACGCUGGCGGCGUGCCUAACACAUGCAAGUCGAGCGGGAAAGCCCGUAAGGGUGAGUACAGCGGCGGACGGGUGAGUAACACGUGAGAACCUACCCUUUAGUGAGGAAUACCUUCGAGAAAUUGAAGUUAAUACCGCAUGAGUCCCUUCGGGGAGAAAGAUGGCCUCUUUGCUAUCGCUAAGGGAUGGGCUUGCGAUCUAUCAGCUAGUUGGUGAGGUAAUGGCUCACCAAGGCUAUGACGGAUAGCCGACCUGAGAGGGUGUACGGCCUCAUUGGGACUGAGACACGGCCCAGACUCCUACGGGAGGCAGCAGUGAGGAAUAUUGCGCAAUGGGCGAAAGCCUGACGCAGCAACGCCGCGUGGAGGAUGAAGGUCUUCGGAUUGUAAACUUCUGUUAAACGGGACGAAAGACCCAUGUCUAAUACACAUGGGGGAUGACGGUACCGUUAGAGAAAGCACCGGCUAACUUCGU